rnacentral:tRNA from 1 species
GCCCAGGUCGCAUAACCUGGUAUUGCGCGGGCCUUGAGAGCCCGUUUCCGCAAGGAUAUGCAGGUUCAAAUCCUGCCCUGGGCG